CAACUUGCCUAUUUAUCUAGGUCUCCAAUAUAGGUAUUGUGUGCAAAACUGAUUGUGCUCUCACCUCACACAUUGAAAACUACAUGAACCUAAGGCAACUAAAAAAAGCUUAUCUGAAUCUCUAAAUUUUAUUGCCUUUGUUUUAAUCGACCUCUUUUAAUCAGCUUACACCCGCUUUAAUCAUCUUUUGGCCACUUAGAUCAACAUUGUUUAGCAUGUAUGCUGAACUUUAUUUUCAAGCAUGUUGCACUGUUUUUUUCCCCUCUUUCAGAACUUUCUUUACAGUCCUGCUUUGUUAAAAAAAUUUGUACAUGUGCCUACAUUAGUUUGGUUUUCAAGUAUAUCGCACUAGUUUUUUCCUGUUUUGAAGCUUUCUUUAGGGUUUUGCUUCUCGACAUCAUACUAUACAACAACCAAAAUUGACUCUUUUUUUGCGAUUUGCUACACAAAUAUGUAUUACUUUAUUAUCUCUAACACAUUUCUUGAUAAAACUACUAUUAAUUUGUAAAAUUGGAUUAGAAAGGUGUACUUCUCCGUUCACUCUUUAUUUGCAGCUUGACUAUUUAGAUUCAAAGAUAUAUGUGUGCGUGUAUGUGUGUGUGUGUGAAAUUAACUAAUUAUUAUAUACAGCCCUUUGUUUACAAAAUUGCUAUACAAAGAUGUUCUCCUUUGUUCACUCUUUAUUUGCAGCUUGACUAUUUAUCUAUGUCUCUUUAUAUGUUCUUUAAUUAAGACUAUAGGCACUCAUAAUUAAGUUUGGGGGCACUCUUGACGAAAUUGCUUUUCCCCCACAUAAACUGAAUUACACAAAGAUGGAAUAUGAGAACAAAUACUUCACCCAACUGGCUGCUAUCUUCAAACUAGUGUUAAUCCAAUUUGCUGCACAAAGAUGUAUUACUUUAUUGUCUCGGGCACAUUUCUUGAUAAAACUAAUAUUAUGGCAAUGUCCUGGCUAUAUCUCCAAAUUAAGUUGCAUUUUAUGUUUACUGGCUUUUGGGAUCUCCUCAUCAUACUAUACAGUAAUUACUGAAGUGUUAUCUUCCUCUCUGAUCGUCUCAAUUUCCUCUAAUGAAGUGUUAUCUCCAUCUCUAUUCGUCUCAAUUCCCUCUAAUUCUGUUGACUACUGUUUUCGAGGUUGUGGUGAUUGAAAAACAUCGAGGCUGUGGUGAUUGAAAAACAGAGGAAUGAGUUUUGGAUGGUCUAAUUAUAGACAACCAACUCUUCUUAUGCAUUGAAUCCUUAGUCUAUAUCUUAAGGGUGGGUGUAAUCUCCAAUUGUUCUUGCAGUAAGGCUGUGUGUAGUCUCCAAUUGUUCUUGCUGUUGUCCAUUGAGGCCGUGAUGAUAGAAUAAAUGAGAAAGGGGUUUUGGAUGGCCUAAUUUAUAGGCAACCAACCUUUCCUGUUCAUUGUAUCCUCCUAAACCUAUAUUUUGAGGUUGGAUGGAAAUAAUUGCUAAGCCUCAACUUAUUUAGGUUUUUUUGAUUUUUGAUUUAUGUGUAUUAAGGUAUGCAUGUGUGUGUGUGUGUGCGUGCCUGUGCAUGCCUGACCUAUUGAACCGGCUGAUUAUAUUUGAAGUUUUUUUUUUUUUGCAGCUUGCUACACGUGUAUGUAUAUUAUUUUAAAAGCUUUGCCUUUCAAACUUUAGUACUGUCUUGCAUCCACAUAUCUGUAUCUUUAUAUAUGCAUUGGACUACUACACCUUUUUCCCACCAAGACCUUUUCAAUUUUAGUCUUCUUGGUUUUUGAAAUGAUUGUCUGAGAUGCUAAAUUCAUAAUUUUAUUCUCUUGCAAAUAUAUAUAGUUGCACCUUAUUUCAAGUCAAGAAAACUAAUUUUGCUCCCACCUCACAUAUUGAAGACAACUAAAAAAAAACUUAUCUGGAUCUAUAGAAAAAAACUUUUCUAUAUGUAUGAUAACUGUUCGGCAUCUGCUAAUCAAGAAUUCUCUAUGCCUUCAGUGGAUAUUAGAACGAGCUUUCAUCCUGAUAUGUUGCUCUUGGUAGUUGGCUCUUAAUUUCUUGCAAAUGGCUGGGCAGUGCAGUGCAGAAUGAGCUUCCUUUCUCACCUUGAUGUUCUGUGAUCAUUGGCCCUCCAUCACUUCUUGCAAUUGCCUACUACUAUCAACUGAGGCACCUUCUACUUCCAACUUUAUUCCAAGGUACUUAUACCUAACUAUUUAUAGUUGUUAUUUUUCCUUUUGUACCUUUCUUGCCCUCCAUAUCCAUUCUUUUAUUUGAGGAUUUCUUUUGCCUAGGUCUAAAUUCUAUUACUGUUUUUAUUCACCAGAAUGUUCUUUAUCUCACAUAAGAUUUAUCUGUACUAGCAUGCUUCCUUAGUCUCUUUUUUUCUUACGUUUAGUUAGGAGUUGUAUACUUGAAUCGUGAAAUCUACUCAAGUUCUUGCCUAUUUUGUGUCCAGCUAUCUAUGCUCCUUUCUUUUACAUAUGUAUCCCCUAUAACUUUUCAGGACUUCAAAUCAGUAUUUCUAUGUUUCCUAAAUCUCCAUAAUUUUUGUUGGCUUCCGUCUUUGAUAUGUAAUGCUUUUUGCCUUCUAAAAAAAAACUUAAUAGUUUUUCGAUUGCCUACCCUUCUAAAAAAAACUUAAUAAUUUUUCGAUUGCCUACCCUGUGACUGUGAUCCAAAGCUAUAAAAAAAAAUGCAGGUUGAAUGGGCCUAACAAUACUUUACAAUCUUGCCUGGUUUCAUAAGUUUGUGCAUGUGCCUACAUUACUUUGGUUUUCAAUCAUACUCCACUGUUUUUUCCCUUUCUUUGAGUUUUCUUUAAGGUUUUGCUUUAAUUCCAUGUUUUGCACAUAUGCCUGCAAUUUCAACCUGCAUUUUUCAAUUGCUUCUUGAAGGAUAUUGGAAUAUUGGAAUAGACCUUCGCCCACUAUUUUAUUGCAGUUCUGUUAUCUUUUCUACUUUCUUUUUUUAUUUUUAAAUGGCUGUGAUGAUAUGAAUAAAAUGAGACAUGAGGUUUGGAUGGUCUGUUUUCUAGGCAACCAACUCCUUAAAGGUGUUCGUUAUAUCCUCCACAAUCUAUAUCUUAAGGCUUNAUGAUAUUUUGACUUCAAAAUUUAAGCUAAUUAUUACUUAUUAUAAUGAGUUUAUAGUUUUGAGAAUUGCAUGAAAUUUCAUAUUCUAACUAAAUCAGUAAAAAUCAAACUUUUGCAAGAUCGGGUAGACAACUAAAAAUGAUCAAUAGUUCAGAUAAUUUUUAUGUAGUUUAACCUUUUUUUUUUGAGAGAGAGAGAAAGCAAAUAUAUAAUUUACGGAUGCACAUACAUAAAAUUUUCUCGGCAAUAUAUAUAUCCCCUAAACUACAAGUUAUUAUCACAAGGGUCAGAUCGGUGGAAACUUUUUUAAAAGGUUUAAUUUGUUGUGACAGGGCCGAUGUAUAAAAAUUCAGAUUGUUAUAGGGUAUGAGUUAUAUAAAGUAUGCAAAUAGAUGACUUUUUUUUCUUUUUCUUUUUCUUUCUUUUAGAGAGAAAGAAAAUAAAUGAUUUUACAGAGGCACGAACGUAAUAUUUGUCGCUAGUCGUUAGCAACAGAAUACCAUCGAAUCAUUUGACGUGGAUGUAUUAUGCUGCUAAUGAGCGAUAUUUUUGUACAUAUGUAGUGCAACACACUUAAUAUGCUAUGGAGUUUGUUUCUAUAUGGAUUGGAGAACUAUUAUGUUAUAUAUAUGUAUAGUCAGUCAGCUGGGACGAUGUGAAAUCGGUAAUGUCUGCCGGGGGGUUCUCCAUCAUUUAAGGCGAUAAAAAUUUGCUGAAGAAGUAGUUUAAUGCAGUUACCGUAGGCCUGUGGAUUGGAAAUGUAGUCAAAGUGCAUCCGCUGGGCAUUGGCGACGGUGAAGACGUCAGAUCCGAUCUGGCUGUUGAGGUCCCUUACGAUGUGCACCAGCUGGGGAUUAAACAGAUCUGCAGCUUUCAUCAGCUCCGCAGCGCAGCUGCCGUCCCGGCUUCUAACCGCCAGCUCCGCCGGCACGCACCCGAGCGGCCCUGUCCCGGUGACGAUGACUCGCCGCGCGCCCAAAUCGUAGAGCCUCUGAAAAUUCCGAGGCAUGCAAAGGUGGAGUCUCUCGUAUUUCAGCGAAUAGAUAGAAGAAACGUCGUACUUUCAAUUAAUAGCAGUUUUUGGGGAGAAAAGAAAAAAAGAAACAAAAAGAAGGAAGUGGGAAAACAGAUAUUUUAGACAGAAAAAAAAGAAAAAAUAAAAAUAAAAAGGAAUUUAAGUCAAUCGGUACUCGGUUUAAUUUGCCAAACUAACUAAUUAAAAGGCCCCUUUAAGAGUCAACCUUGUCUAAUAUAUUUGCAAAGAAGCACAUGAGACAUCGACGGCGGAGAGUGAUGCAGAAUAAGAAAUUUUAUUUCAAUCUUGGCUCUUGGCUUUUCACUUAACGAAAUUCUAAAAAAUUAAAAAAAGAACACUUUUUUCUCCCCAAAUUGCUGUUUUCUCUGGUAAUAUAUUUUAUUUUAAAUCAUGCCAAAUAUUUGGACAGCUCCUUAAUUUUCAGCCUAAAAUCUAAAUGCAUUUUAAGCCUCUUAUACGUAAAACCAAUUACCAAACUCCAUUAUAUUCUCACUUGAGCAUUCAAGUCCCUAAAGUAACCUCUCUCUCUCUCUCUAUAUAUAUAUAUAUAUAUUUUACUGCUCCGUCUUUUCCUAUAAAAUGACCUUCUCCUUUUCCUGGGGCACGUAAUUAGAUUAACAGAAGGGCGCGCUGCCAUUUCACAUUCGUAUGUAUAUGGGACGGGAGAGCAUGCAUAUUGCAAAUGUGCAGAAACUGUUCAAGCACUAUACUCUUUGAAAUUGGGUGGCCCAUAUAUGCAUGUGAAGAGAUGUUGCUAUAAUAAGAGUGUCCUUAGGCCAAAGAUACACUGUACUGCUCGGUAAUGUCUAGCUGUUUCUUUUCCCUUAUUAGUUCUGCUAAUUUAAUUCUUCAUAAUGUUGCUCUGGACCACUCUGCACCCAGGGGAGAUUAAUAACCAAAUCUACCCAUUUGUAUUUACUGUUUGCCCUCCUAUAUAUAUAUAUAUAUAUAUUUAUUGCAUGCCUGAUCAGUGGUGGUUGCCAUCAAACUCUACAGUAAAUUUCCAGCAACCAAAUUUAGUAAUUACUACAUGCGAUACCCUUCUUUUGAAGGACAACUGCAGGGGAAGGGAAAGAAACUUCUUAUUUAUUGUCAAGAUUACUACGUACUAGCAAGGGCUGUAAAACUAUUUUUUUUUAUUUUUUUUAUUUUUUUAUUGUGUCUAUGGCAGUUGCUCGAACAGCUCAAUGCCUGGUUUAGGAUUGUGUUUCCCGGUACAACUCAAUUAAAGACCUUUCAAUCUUCCCGGCUGCAAUUCUCACCUCAAUUUUACCUUUAAAUUUGUUAGACCGUACGGAGUAUAAAAGCGGAUAAGUUUGGCGACACAAAUCCAAACUAGCCCUAACAUUUUAAUUGCAUGGGAGCAUUUUGAUAUGAACUAUUUUUUUAUUGUAGGGAUUCGGAAUCAACAACGGAGACCGUUAAACAUAAUUUAGGUCUUCUCGAACCAAAUUUUGUGAUUUUUGAAUAUUAUUUUCUAACACAUCAAGCGGGCACAAAAUUAAAGGCUCAAACCGAAUAAUCUUGUGAAAAAGAGGAUAGAAUUGUUCAAGUUUAUUGAGGCCGAGCAUGUUGAUCUUGAUCAAAAUAGUUGGAAGAAUUUCGUAGCGAAAAUCCAAUUAAACUAGACUCUUCUACAUUGUUAAAGCAAAAAAGUCUUUGUUAAUUCUAAAAUGUUUCAAUUAAUAUAUAUAUAUAUAUAUGAAGUAGAAAACUCACUCAAUUUAUUUUCUAUAGAACUCAAAUAUCCUAAAUCAUAUUUUACUUGAUUGUCUAAUAAAAUAAUUUUGAUAGUCAAUAAUUAAUGACUAGGCAGUUCCAUGGCAUUAGCACUGUUGCUAUAACUAACUCAUUCACAGCAAUCUUCCGGAUAAAUUUGUGUGCAGCUGUUAUUUUCGGUCAGAAGAAUAGCAGCAAUAAAGUGCGUGCAUGGAAGCAGUAGUAUACAAUGUCAAUGUCAUGGACCUCUUGUGGGCAUGUGAGUUAUUACUGUAUAUUUUGCAAGAGGGCAAAUUUCACCGCCUAGCCAAUAAAUUUUUGUGCCGGAGAAUGGAAAGGACGGUUUAGCUGACCGCGUCCAACUAACAAAGUAUACGUCGAUUGCAGCAGACCGGCUUUGCGCCUUUAUAUAUUCUCGGCACUGUUAUUGGCCCGGAGUAUUGAGGGGAGAUCAUAAGCGUGCAUGCAGGGAAGGUGAUUUAAUUAAUUAAUUAAAGGACUAAUUUCACCUGCGGCGCAUACGCUACUCUGCUAACUUGUCGGGAUUAUGUUUCGCAGAUGGAGGAGUCACAUCAAUUCUUGAGCACGCCGUAUAAAUUCUCGGAUGGAACUUUGAGAAUUUUACGUUGUAUUUUGGAUAGUAAGUUAAUUUCUACUUUAUUUAAAAUCAAGCUGCUUCAAUUAGCGGGAAAGUUAUAUAAAGACCCCAUGACGCUGUGCAUGAUUUCUUAAGUUUGCACAUUAAGGUUUAUUGUUUUGUCGAGAAAAUUUAAUUGUAAAAUCUUCUGCAUUAAAAGUGAGAAUGUGGCUCUUCUAAGGUGUUCUAUUACUCCGAAUGGCAUGGCAACUAGCUAUACGUAUAUAAUUCACGCAAAAUUGGACCAGCACAGCACAGCACGGCACAGCACACUCCAGGGGGAUGGAUUUGCACUGUGUUUGACCAAUAUUGUAGUAGUAAUUAAUGUAUGUUGAUGGGCCAAUUAGUUAUGCCAAAUCUAGUCAUUUAUAUAUAUAUAUAUAUAAUGUAAUUUAAUUCUUCUUUUCAGAUGAGUUGAUUGAAUCUACUAAGUAAGAUCGAUCAAACUUGAAACUAGACAGGGAGGGUAACACACACGUACGACCGACCGACUUCAAAUGCUGGAAAAUUAUACUUGUACCAGUAAGUGAACGUACCGUGAGAAUUUUUUUGUACUCGAAUAUUAUAAACUGGACAUAGUCCGGGAGCGCAAAUUCACGAGAUCUCACGGAGUAGGGGACCAAGUAGUAGUUGUUAACAAAGUCAUUACCCCCGAGAGUGAUGAGAACGAGAGCCUGGUUCACUAGCUUCUUCGCCUGGUCCUCACCUAGGAGAGCACUCACCCGCUCCUGGUACUCCUCGAAGUAUAGCAGUUGCCUGCUAAUCCUAAUUAUGUUUACCUGCAUAUAUAUGCGCGCACGAUAUAUAUCCAGAUUAGAACGCGUCGUCGAUUUAUGAAAAGAAUUUUAAGUACAUCUAAAAUGGAAUGGAAUAAAUUUGUAGCGUCCGUACAAAUUGAAUUCCGGUGUCGUUGAGGAUUCCGAUCCCUGCCGAAGCGAAAUUCGCACCGACGAGUAGUUUUUCGCCUUGAAGCUCAGGGCUCAAGUAAGGCAAUGUGGAUUCGGCUCCCAGAUACUCGCCUGAGAUAUAUAAUUGCACCGCAAUGUGAGUGAAAAAAAAAAAAAAGAAAAAAAGAUAGGAACUAAAUAUGUACAAAAUUAAUCUCAUCGUGGCUCUUUAUGCAUGCGGUUAACUGAUAAUGUCAGGGAUGUUAAGCCCAUUGGAGAAUCGGCCCGUCGGCCGGUGGGUAGGGUAGUCAAUCCCAUAAGGCGGGGCAUCGGCGCGCGCCGUGGUAGCCAAGUAGUUGUUGUUGCCGUUGUCGACGAGGGAAUCGCCGAAGAUAAAGAAGGCGCGCGCAUCGGAGACUGCGCAGAGGGUCCCUAAAGCUAAGAAACAAACAAGAGAGCAGAGGAGGAGGAGGAGGAGAAGAGAGGGGUGCAUCGUCAAUGUGAAAAUGCGCAAUCAAUCAAAUGGAAGUAGAAGAGGGAUCGUAAUAUAUACUAGCUAGUAGAAGAGCCGGCUCUGUAUAUAUAUUCACAUGAAGGGCCAGAGGAGGUGGUGGAUUUAUAUAGGACUCUGCUGGGCUCAAUUUAAGAGGGUGUGUGUGUGUGUGUGUGUGUGUGUGUGUGUGUGUGUACAUGUGUGUGUGUAUAUAUCUAUAUGCAUGUGUGCAUGCAUUUAUAUUUACUUAGAUGUCCGCGUAUGUUCGUAUACACGUACAUAAAGAGCUAGAUCUAAUCACAUUCUUACAUAGUUUAGAUUUAUAUGUGCGUGCGUGUGUGUGUGUGUGUGUGUGUGUGUGUGUUAAAUUAACUAUGUAUACCUAUAUGUAUAUGUAUACAUACAUAUAUAUACAUGUACAUAUAUACAUCAAGUGCUGGAUCUAAUCAGUGUGUGUGUGUGUGUGUGGAAUUAACUAAGUAUAUCCAGCCCUUUGUAUGCAAAAUUGAUACACAAAGAUGUUCCCCUUUAUUGUCUCUUUAUUUGCAACUUGCCAUUUAUCUAGGUCUCCAAUACAGGUAUUGUGUGCAAAACUGAUUGUGCUCUCACCUCACACAUUGAAAACUACAUGAACCUAAGACAACUAAAAAAAGCUUAUCUGAAUCUCUAAAUUUUAUUGCCUUUGUUUUAAUCGACCUCUUUUAAUCAGCUUACACCCGCUUUAAUCAUCUUUCGGCCACUUAGAUCAACAUUGUUUAGCAUGUAUGCUGAACUUUAUUUU
rnacentral:lncRNA from 1 species